CCGGAAUGGGGCUAAGGCUGGCCGGCGAUGGAUGUCUCUUUUCUUUUGGUUUUUGAGUUUUGGGUUCCCUUUGUGAUUUGGCUGUGAUUGUUCACGGGGCUGAGAGCUGAGCCGCGGAUGGUCUGGCUCCAUGUCCAGGGCCGGAGGGCUCGUGCACGCGCCCAGCUCGGAGGGCAGGAUGAGGCGCUGUGCCCACGGCCGAGACCCUGCGGAGCCCGUGAUCUCAGUGGAGAAGCCUUCUUAAGCCGCGAUCGAUUUGCUUUUCUGCCUUCAUUGAUUAUCAUUUGGAAACAAGUGGUGCCGCUGUAAUGGAAGAACUGGGGACAGACCCUUCCAGCCACUGGCUGAAUCGAGGCCAGGAAAGCGAUCAUUCUCUCCCAGAGAGGGAGACAUCUUGCCUCUUGACAGCGUUUGGCCCCCACUUUUCUUUCCUUCCCUUCCCUAGAACAGAGCCUCCAUGCAAGCCUGUGCCGUGGCAAGCGUCCAGCCGCAGCCCGUGGAGUCCGCAUUCUUUCCACUAGAGGGCGGUCAGCUGUGAAAGCACCUGGGAUCCCGAGAGGGGGCCUGAGAGGCAGGGGUGGAGAUGUGGCCCGAGGGACGGAGAGUCUCCUGGCCUCCGGGAGCCUUGAGCAUACUGCUCUUCCAGCUGCCUGAGCAGGUGCCCACAGGGUUUCGGAGACCUCCUGACAGCAGGUGUGGGCCCAAGGGAGCCAAAGGAUCUCCUGAGGAGAGUCUCGUUGGAGAAGACACUGGCUUCCUCACGACUACCGGCCCCCACCUCCCCCAAAGUGGGUUUCUCCGGAGGGAUUCUCUGAAGCCGAUUUCUUCUCGCCCCUCCUCUGUCCCACCAUUGAGGCUGCUGACUCGGGCCUGGUCCUGUUUUGGAUGGCUCCCCUGCAAGCGGGAAAUGCGGCUACCCACCCUCUGCCCCGUCGUGGGCCCAGCAGCACCGACCGAGCCUUUGCCCUGUGCAGACGGGAGGUUCUCACGGUCCUCUUGGGACCCUUCGCGUCAGCAUUUCAGCCUUGGGAGCGCCCCACCCCCGUCUGAGGGGACCCGGUCCAGGCUGCCGACCCUCGGCACCUCUGUCCCCGUUGCAGAUCUCUCGCCCCAUCAGCAGGGUGUUGUGCACCUUGAGAAGCCCCCCCCAGUGCUCGUGGUGCCGGCCACCGAGCUUGAGCUCUGCUCUGAGGGCCACCAACCCAGAACCUCGCAGGAAGGUCUCCACUCCUUUGGAAAAGACUGCGUUUAUUUUCACAGUCGACCCAAGGCCGACGACGUGAUGGGGCCGGCGGGCCGGCAGGCAGGCGGGCUCAUGUUCAGCACCCCUCCCCUCAGCUGCAACGUCAACAGAAACUGUCAGGCUCCUGGCCUAUGGGCUCUGGCCGGCAUGCUCCGCCCCAUCCCCAGGCCCCUCCCCGCUCGGUUUCGGGCCGACUCACACAGCACAGCGACUUGGGGGCAAGGCCCAGCAGGAAAUUUAAAUCGUUCCUGUGUACGAUUUACUGCUAGGAGCACGACUUCUGCAGAUUUGAGGGAGCAGACUUCCUUCAGUCCCACGUGAUCACAUCUUGCUUGAGCUUGAGCUUCUUUUGCACUUUCCUGAAGUCCUCAGUCUCUGCAUUAGAGUUCUGCACUUUCUCAACCAGUUCAACUUUCUCAUCUGAAAGUUGGUCAGGAGCCUGUCUGCUAGAGUCAGUUUCAAAGUCCUUUCCGUGACCCUCUCUGAAGAUGAAAGAGACUUGCAGAAACAGAGUCAAACCAAACUGUCUGUAAAUGACAAGGAUUUCAAAAUGGCAAUGGACAAAGAAAUUUGGUUAUUUUUAUGACCUAGAACACAUCCAGAUAACAAUUAGAGUGAUGAGUGCUAACCAGGAUAAAUCAGCAUUUUAGGAAUGCUAUCUGAUUUUUAAAACCCUUAUAGAAACAUUUACCCACAGCAUAGCCUAGAUCCCUAGGAAACCAUGCUUAGCUAUGCAUGGAAACACGGUGACCAUGAAAGUUUUUCAGGCAAGUGUAGAAAAUCAAACGGGUGAGUGAAACAUCUUAGCCACUUGGUGUGAUUCAAUUCGUGUAUCAAAACAAUACUGGAAAUUUAUUUUGAUAAGGCAUCAAAAUCUUUCCUAAUCUCUUUCCCCAGAAAAGAAGAAAACUUUAAGCAAAUGAUCCUUUUAAGAGAGGGCAAAAACCAAAAUCUAAUUUGGCAACAGCUUCCCUUCGAUAUGAAAGUUCAUUGACUUCGUUCAGUUCGUUUCCAUAGUAGCCAAUUUGAUCACGCACAAAACUCUUUUCUUUGAGUUUUUUUCCCUCAUACAUUCUAGAACCUUCUUUUUACAUUAAGAAUUUGUCCUAGGGCUGCUUUCCUUUUUUAGGACCCAUUUAUCUUUCUUACCAAAACCAACAAAGACAUUUCCAUUCUUUAAAUUUUCUUGCCUGAGAACAUUCAUCCUGCUUUCCUUAGCGCACAAAGAUGUCUUCCUUCUCAAUUUUGAGUAGCUUUAAUCACAUCUCUUCCUUAGAAGUCUCAGCCUUUACAGACCUUGUUUUCAGUAGAAUCUAAGAAGGAAGCAAUUAUAAACUGUCCUUUCCAUUAGCAUUCUGUGGCUUUACAAAUUUAUAAAUAUAUUUAUAAUUUCCAGAAUCAUACUACUUCCUAGGACACUCUUAUGAUAAAAACGUAAGGCAUCUUUACUAAUAGACCCAAAGAUCUUUUGGUUUCUCUGUCAAAAUAAGCCUGAAGUAGAUAAACCUCUGUCUAAUAACUACUGUCUAAUAUUUUAUCUUAUUUGGAAAUGAUCUAGAGACUCCAUAAAUUUCUAUCAUUCAGCUGAACUUAAUAAAACUUGAAGGUGUCAAGUAACCA
rnacentral:lncRNA from 1 species